rnacentral:lncRNA from 1 species
GAUGUAAGUCCAGCAAUUGGCAUUCAGGCUCCAUGUUUGCCUUCUUGUGUGCGUUUAGGUUCGGAUGCUGACAUAAGUCCAGUGAUUGGCAGUCGGGCUCCACGUUUGCCUAUUUGUGUUUGUUUGUGUGCGUGUCAGCCGAGCUACGAAUGCUCUGAUUCUUCUCUCGUCCGAGAAGAUACGUAUGCAUAGGACGCGACAUCCUAGCGAGCAU